UAUGGGUCAUAGCCUAGGAAAAAAUAAAUACAUGGAGUAGUAUGUAAAAUGCAAAUAAAUUUCUAUAAUCUCAAAUGAUGAGCCCAGACUUAAUUGUUUUAGUAGUGGUUGUUCUCCCAAAACUGAGCUUGAAGCCAAUCGAUUGUCCCCUUUUGCACCUGGAAAGCCUUUGCCAAGACAUCAUCCGAGAUAGGUGGCUUUGAUCCAAAAACUGCAUUCGCAAUAGUAAUAACUCCAGGGUUCUGGCUACUUAGUGCAGCGAUCGCGACUGCUGGCUUGUCAUGGAUCGGGUUGAACUGGAAGUGGAUGAGUCCUUAGGGGAACACAAAAACAUCGCCCUUGUUGAGGACCUUGGAAAAUAGCUUGUUGGUGUUGUCAGCUUGGUUGGAGGUGACAAAUCCAACGUAGAGUGUGCCCUCAAGCACGGUGAGGAUCUCAGUGGCACGCGGGUGGGUGUGUGGAGGAUUCUGACCUAAGGGUGCAUAGUCGAUGCGAGCCAACGAGAUGCCCAAGGUGUUUAGUCCAGGCAACUGCAUGACAUUGAUCAAAGUAACGUUGGAUCCCACCUUGCUCUUGGUGGUGUCCCUUGGUUGGUCAAGUUUUGCUGCCUUAAAGAAGUCAUCUGCGUUCACAGUCAUGGGGUCCUUGCAAACAAAUCCAUUCACAUUCACUGUAUGCAUAGACGAAGGCAAACGGCAAUUAGAUGGAGAACAUGACAUGAUUAGGCCAUACCUAGCUAGAAAUGCUUGUUGAACAAAUGAUCCUUAUUUGAUGUGGUAAUUUGUAUAAGAACACAACAUGACUCGAGCACACAUACCCGGAGAGUGUUUGUCGGCAACACAGAAGUCUUGGAGCGGGCUAGGAUCAGAGGCAAUGGCCUGAGAAGUGAGCAGUGCUAGAAAAGCAACGAGAAGGAGGUAGGUCGAGGCAGCCAUUUGGUGUUUGUGCUCUCUGAAUUCAGCAAUGACGCUUCUUAGCUUGUUGGUGCUUUGGGCAUGGGGAUGGUGAGGUUAUAUAUAGCACCUGCGUAGAGCAUGCAUGUACGUACCAAUGGCUGAAUGAGCCUUAAGUUGAACCUAUCAGCAGAAACAGUCUCUGGCUGCGCUUGAAUUAAUCUGCAGCUGCUGAAACAAUACAUUUGCCUUAUAGAUUCAACGUGCUGCUUGGUCGUCUCUUUGCUUCUAAAGAAAGUGUAUUCUUUCUUUCUUUCCAUUUUUGCGUUUUCAGGUGGCUGAUGGUGGACUGUGAUAGUUGCGUAAUAAACAAGAAAAAUGUUUCAUUGGACAACCGAGCUUUUAAUUUGCUACGUACAUAGAAAGAGUCAACUCACAAGAAAUAUAGAAAUAGUCAGCAAUGGGAUCGUCAGCUCCACACCUAAACCAACAUGUGCCCUACACGUUUUACUAGACCAAGCACUUGAUUGCUUCUUAGUACGUAGAUUUGUCAACGUCGAGACAGAGAAAACUGUGCUUUCUUUCAACUCAGCGGAGUUGUGCAUUGGGGUAGGCUCCUGGUGGUUGGGAUCGGGCCCUACAUUGCUCAGCCAGCGCGCGCUCUAUGCCGAUAGCGUCCAUGUUCGAUGCACCCCUAUACUUCCACCGCCGUGGAGGCGAAAACGGGUCAUGGUCCCCUGUGGCCCCGUGCGCUGCCUAGCUAGGGCGCCUCAAUCAGGCGCACCGUGAGGUUGGAUGGAUUUCUGUGACCGCAUGUCAUCACGAAGGAAUCCUUCUUCAAACCUGAAAAAAAUGCCCAAACUGUUUUUCCAUUGUUUUUCUGUUUGGUCGGUUGGAUUCAAGUUGGUUGAGACGAGCUGUACAUGACUAGUCUCGAAGGAAGGGGGGGGGGGGGGGGGGGUUGGUUUCAAAAGUAGGGCCGGACAUUCGGUCUAUUCUGAGUUUUGAAAUUUCGGGUUAUGAAAAAUGAGAACUGAAAAUUUUAAAAAUAAUUUUAGGAACCGAACCCGAAUAGACUCACAAUUUCGGCACCGAAUAGACCCGAAUAGUAGAGGCUAGUAUCUUUUGUUAAAAUAUAUACAAUUAAUAAUUAAUUGGAAGUACUAUUAUUACAACAAAUGACUAUAAAAAGUAGCAUACUGAGAUGUAUAUAUUAUCGUUAAGAUGAUAUUAUAAUUUUUAGUUAAUAAUUUUAUAAAUCAUAUAAUAAUAUCAUCACAUAUUAAGAACUUUUUUUUAUAUUUCGGGUUAUUCGGUCUAUUCGGGUUUUAAAGGUUAGGAACCGAACCCGAACCCAUACCUCGAAAUAUAGCACAUAUAGGAACCGAAUCCGAACCCAAAAACCCGAAUAGACCGAUAAUUCGGUCUAUUUGGGUUCGGUUUGGGUUCAGGUUUCGGUUUUAAAAUGCCUACCCCUAGGCAAAAGCGUCACAACCAGGCUGACACCAGGAAACUCGAGAACUUUCGACGGCCGCGAUGAAUUUCGGUGGCUAAACAGAGGCCGCUCUUGAUUAAGACUUUUUCUUGGAGAAGAACAUUAGUUGGGACUAGGUUAGCGGAGUGGAACGGAUUACGCUCACGUGUCGCUAAUAUUCUCUUAUCACAAGAGAUGAUUCUUUUCAUUGGAACUUGACCCAAUCCGGUCAGUUCUCGGUGAAAUCCCACUAUCAGGCUUUGAUUAAGACUAAAAUACCCAAUUUAAAUAAAAGAUUAUGGAAAUUAAAAACUCCACUUAAGAUUAAAGUCUUCUUGUGGUACCUUAGGAGAGGAGUAAUCCUAACUAAGGACAAUCUGGCCAAGCGUAAUUGGCAUGGAGACCCAUCUUGUUGCUUCUGUCAUAAACCAGAGUCAAUUAAGCAUCUAUUUUUUGAAUGUAGUUUAGCUCGUAUGGUAUGGGGGUAUAACCUACAUAGCCUUUGUGAUACGUGCACCUUCUAGUGUCUCUAAUAUGCUUGGUAGCUGGCUAGAGGGGUUUAAUCACAAUAUUAGAAACAUUGUUUUGCUAGGAGCGGCAAGCAUCUGUUGGGUUCUUUGGCUAACCAGAAAUGAUUUUGUUUUUAAGAGAAAAAUGAUCUAUUACCCGUUACAGGUUCUAUGUGCCAUUUCCCAUUGGCUUCGUACAUGAGCGUUGCUACAGAAGGCGGAACAACAAGCUAUGGUUGUGGAGGCUAUGCGUUUCUUGGCGUAGGUGGCCAAUGACUUUUUUCCUAGGCGCAUGGGUGGCGAUCUAGUUGUCGGAUUGGUUGUCACUUGAGAGUGUGUUACCUUGUUUAGGCUGUGUGCUUGUUGAUGAGCAGAGUCCAGAAGAAAUUUCAAUCCUUUGUAUCAACUUGAUGCGACACGUUGAAAUUAAUAAAGUCUUCCUUAUAAAAAACAAAGGCCGCCGAAAAUAAACCAACUAAUUUCGGUGGCGCCACCGAAAUUAGUACAUUAUUGUCGACGAUCUGGUUUAGCUACUGAAAAUAGAUUAAUUUCGGCGCCUGCGCAAACGACCGUAGAAAAUUAUGUUUUCCUUUCAUUGACAAUUUCUAGAUGCAGAAAAUUUAUCGUAUAAGGGUUUAGGGGACACGCUGCCAUGCUUGCUUUAUCUUCCUCCCAUCCAACCGCAGGUAACCCAGCCUUGUGUGCCACCACUAGCUCAAUCGGCCGUGCACUCCCUGCGCGCCGCCGCAUCUCCUACCCCCAUGUGGUGCUACACCCCCUACCCCCACACCCACGACGUUGUGCGCCCCUGCUUCUCCACAAGGCGCCACGUCCCUACUCACCCGUGCGCCUCCAUGUCCCUGCGUCGUCUCUGCACACUAACGAGCUGCCCCCCUCAUGCCACCGCAUUUCUGGACCCCACACGUUAUUGUGUCUCUGGCCCCCCAUGCGCCGCUGUGCCCCUGCUCCUGCCAUGUUGCCGUUACUAAACAUCUAUGUCAAAAUAUUUUCGUGCUAGACUAUGAAACGUGGGUGUUUCAUGGCAAGGAAUACACCACCGUUAUAGAAGAAGAGGAAGAUGGUAAUAGUGCAAGCAUCGAUAGGAUAGACGAGAUGCUUGAAGAUAUGCAACUAGAAAUCUAAACAUUGAGGAUGAGCCACCGUUAGAGGUUUAGGAGUUCCUCAGGCUCUUGAAAGCUUCGGAACAACCAUUGCAUGAAAACACAAAAGUGGCAUUACUUGAUUUUCUGUGCUGCCUAAUGGCUAUUAAGUCAAAAAAAUUCCUCCAACAAUUGUUACAAUGAGCUUAUAAAAUUAUUUUGGGAUGUCCUUCUGAUGCCUCAUAAGCUACCUAAAUACAUGUACCAAUCUAAGAAACUACUCAAAAGUCUUGAUAUGAAUUACUAGAAGAUUGAUGUCUGUCCAAAUAACGACAUGCAUUUAUGAAAGGGGCACGAGUAGGGAUGUAAUCGGAUUGAAUACAGACGAAUAUCACUGAAACCAUAUUUGUUUUUAUAUUUUUAUUUGGAUUCGAAUUCGAAUACGGAUAGCUUCGGAUUUGAAUACGAAUACAGAUGUUCUCGGAUACAAAUACAGAUAGUUAUGUGUCAAAUACGGAACUAGUCGGACAUGAAUAUUGUCGGUAACAAUUUUUUUUGUCGGAUAUAGUGUAAGACAUCAUUCCACACAUAUCAUGGUUGUAAUCAUGUAUCCACUCCUUAAGUCCAAACAUUUUUUAGUAUUAUAUGUGUACAUAUGUCACAUUUUUUUGUAAAAAUUCAUGAAUUUUUAGGCUAUGUGCGUAUUAUUAAUUUAUUUUAAUCAUCAAAAUGCAAAUAAGUUACCAAGAAUAAUAAACAUUCUAUAAGAAUAUAACCUCAAGUCUCCACAUGAAAAUGAUAAGGUGAACUUGGAUACUUAUAGUGAUUUCACGUGUAAUUCACCCAACAAGUGAAAGUGAAAUGAAAGAAACACUAUCAUAUUGUGGAUUUUAUGGUCCAAAUAUUUUGAAGGAUUAUAUGUGGACAUAUGGUAUGCCUCCAUAAAUUUUCAUGAAUUUUUGAGGCUAUUUGUGUAUUAUUAAUUUCUUUCUACAAAAAAUCAACAAAAUGCACACAGCUAUCCGGAUAAGGUAUCCAGAUAUCCGAGAAGAUUUAUCCGAGAAAAUAUCCAGAUAUUCAAUAUCUGACGGAUAUCGGACAUAUUGUAUUCGAAUUCGAUAUCUGAAUAAAAUAUCCGUAUUUGUAUCCGUUAUCCGAAAAAAGUUCGGAUAUCCGAAAAUUCCAUCCGAACCAGUGUUCAUCAUCUUCGAAUCCGGAUCCGGACGGAUAUUUUUCGAACCAUAUUACAUCCCUAGGCACGAGAAAGAAAAGAAGUGCUUGAAAUUUGGAAGAACAAGGUAUGUCAGGGAAAUAAUGAUAAUGGUAAAAUAAUGGCAAUGGAGGUUGCUCAUAAGCAACUUUGUUACAUGCCCAUUUCACCUCAACUAAAAUGAUUGUUUCUCUCCAACAGAAUGACCUUGCACAUGCGAUGUCACAAGGAAGGUGAGAGGGAGCACAAAGAAGUGUUGGUCGACCCUUCAAAUGGAGGCACAUGGAAGGAUCUAGACAACUUUGAUCCAGGGUUUGCUAAAUAAGCAAGAAAUUUUGUAUUGGGCUAGUGACUGAUGGAUUCACACAGUUUGGUCAAUCCACCACAUCCAAUUCAUGUUGACCCGUUGUAAUUCCAUAUGACCUUCCUCCAUCUCUUUGCAUAAAGUACGGAUUUAUAUUUAUAUGCCUCAUCAUACCUGGUCCGGAUCACCCAAGACCAAAGCUCAACGUGAUGCUAAAACCCUUGUUAGAAGAGUUGGAAGAACUAUGAAGAGGAAUCAAAGCUUAUGAUAUGUUCAAAAAACAUAAAUUCACCCUUCGUGUUGCAUAUCUUUGGUCAAUUCACGAUUUCUCUGCCUAUAGCAUUUUCUCUGGUUAGAGCGUUCAUGGUAAAUUGGCUUGUUCGAUGUGUGCUCUGAACAUUGUGUCACACCCGGUUUUGGAAGGUAAACCGAAUGCGAACCAUGUACAUGCCAGGAUCAGAAAUUCACGGUGAUUACAUAAAUGACUCAUCAUAGCACAAUGCUUUGAAUAACAAUAAAGAGUAAGUAAUAAUAUUAAAGACUAGAGUCAUUUACAUAAUAUAAAUCAAAGUGCACAUAAUAGAAACGUAGCCAACGUAAAUAAACCCACCACAGGCAGCUGACUGGGUGAGGUCGCUAGCCUAAUCCUCGAACUCGUCGAAGUCCUAGAACUCCUGGAGAUAUGCCUCGAUGCCUUCUUCUUCUUCUUCUUCUUCUUCUUCUUCUUUACCUUAGCAUAGGUUGCACCAAAGGCAACCUGGUGUUUUGGGAAAGCAAGGGUGAGUACACAUCAACGAACUCAACAAAUGUCCUGUUUGGCUGAGGUGGACUAGCUUCAUGUGGGGUUAGGGUCAAAGCAGUUGCUUUUAGUUAGUCAGGUAUUUAUUAUUAGUGAGAGCCAAAUUUUAGCAAUAACCAACCCGUGAAUCAUUUCCUCGUCGAGGAACAUCAUUAUCAUCAUCGAAACAAAAACCAUUAAUAGAAUCAUUGCAUCUUGAACCAUCUGUAUCUCUAAUCAAAGAGGAUCCCAAGGCCGCUCUUAACCGUGAGCACGACUGAUAUACCAGUUUCAUUCCUCUGCAGUGGUCGCACACUUUACCCACGAGUAGUGAUUCCCUUCGUGCCCGGGGAGAGCUACUCCCCAUUGACCACUACCUAGAUGGCCUGACAGGGUAUCAGUAUGUAGCCUUUACAAAGACUCCUCUAGUGCAUAGCUGCUCGUUAGGUUUCGCCAGUCGUACAAACGCAGUACACCUCCCCAAGGUGGGUGACUAACAAAACCAAAUCGAAUGAACCUUUGCACCCCCCUUAGCAGAGCAAGCACUACACCCCGGCCCCCAUUGACGGCCCUCCGGCAAAGCCAACUACACCCCGAGGUUCAUUUAAUUAUUCAGCUAAGGGCGUCCCAUUCCGCCCUCAUGGUCGCACUGUUAUCCCAAGUGGUCACUCAACGAACAGAUCCUUACGGAGAGGUACUCAGGAAAACAGCCUAAGACCCCUAAAGUAUCACAAGAUCAAUAUCGGGAUAACAUCAUCGUAUCAUAAAUAUUCACAUCAUAUUCGUUUAUUAAGUUAAAGCAAUAACAUAAAGCUAACCAUAGUAACCCAAAAAGGUAAACAAUGAUAAGGUAAAUAUAGACUAGUCAAUCCUUAGGUUUCAAUAAUGUAAUGCAGGACAAUGCAUUAAAAGUGAAUGGGACAUAAUAGGUCAGAUGAUACUUGCCUUCACCAAACAGAUGCUCAGGGUCUUCAACCUUGUGAAACUCGAAGAGCCUAAUCAUUUGGUCGCCAACGCUUGAUCGUCGAUCCCUCGUAGCUCAAAAACGGAUCACAAUCUAAUCGCAACGCGAAGCGAAGACAAACAGUCACAAGCAAACAAACAUAGAUAUGCAUAAGAACAUUACACUAUGCCAAAGAGAACAUAAUAAAAACAUGCAAUACGAAAUAGAGCUCACCACUACGAUCACGCAAGGAAAAGAAACGCGAUAGUAUGAGCUACGAUCGAGAGGUUAUGACGUUUACACUACGCAAGUAAUAGUCAGGACAUUUAAUUCGAUAUUAUCAAAUAUAAAUUAUAACUGCUAUUUAGUUUUGAUUAAAUCCGAUACACUAACAACUGUCAAAUAAAUAAGUAAUAUAAUUAGCACGAGAGAUUCUAAGCGAGGCGAGUUUACGAUGCGCGAAACGGAACGACAGCAUGCAACCGACGCGCGGACACGCGUGACAUAGCAUGCUGACGACACAUGAAACAGUGCGCGCGACCAACGCGAAUGACGUGCGAAUCAGCACAUCACCACUUGUGGAACAGCACGCGCGACAUGCAAAAAAACUAAAUAGGUGAUGCAUUUAUACUAAACAAAUAUUAAAUAACUAAAAAGUAGUUAAGUUAAUAUUAGCCAUGUUAAUAUUUAUUAUAAAAGUGCAAGUUGAACACUACACAUUUAAUCUAAUUGGAAUAUUAAUCUAAUAAAUAUUAGUCGAGCGAACCUUAAGUUAAUUAUCUAAAAUAUAUGACAUGACAAAUUAACGUUACUAACAUGAGUGAUUAUAAGGUGAAAAUAAAUUUAUUAUCACGUGCAGCCGCGCGACACACGUGAUUGACACGCGAGAUUCGUGCUAACGACGCGCGGCGAGGCAAGCGACACGUGCAAAUGGCACACAUGACGCACGCACACGACGUGUGACAACGCGUGCGAACGACACACGCAAAACAACGUGUGCGAAAUAAUCGAGUUAGAGCUGUGGCUAUGAGUGCUACAGAGGGGUUGGGUCACGCACGAUAGUGCGCGACACGCACGAGUCAACGCGAACAACACGAUGACACGCAAACGAUGUCGCGCGCGAACAACAACAAACAAAUAAUUAAUGAAAAGUAUUUUAGCUGGUAUUAAUCACGUUAAUUAACAUUUAUAUUUAUAAAAGCACGAGUUAAAACUAUAGACUCGUUCUAAUUAAAUUGUUAUUUUAUUAACCCUCGAACAAACCAAUAAUUAAUUAUUCAACUAAAACAUGUGACACGACGUCCAUGAGCGCCACACGUGGGAACUGCGUGCGCGACAACACGUGCACCAGACACGCGGCGCGAACAAACAACGACGACGUGCAAACAGCGCGUGACCCGCGAAAACGGCGCGACAUGCGAAAACUACUAAACUGCGUCGUUUUCUUAUAUUAACCAAGUGUUAAAUAUAAUAUUCAAUUCAACAUCAACAUAUUACCAGCUAUCUACAAACACAUAUUUAAAAUUAUAAACUAGAUUCGAUUGAACUAUUGUUUUAAUAACUGACAACUAAACAAUUAAUCAAGUGAUUAACACUAACGAUAUGGCGAAGUGAUGUAAUUAAAGCGAGCAAAUAACGGUUUACCGAGUGACGACGAAGCGAGCGAGCUACACGCGCUACACACGCAAACGACGCGCGCGAAACACGAUAAAACUAAAUACUCGUCGCAUUUAUAUUAAACAAAUAUUAUAGCAAAACAUUUGAGUUACUAUUACGCCGACAUGGAUUUAUAAAGCGUAGGUUAACUACUAUAAAUUACUUUAAUUGAAAAGUCUAAUUAAUUAACAUUAGUUAAACAAAAAUAUAAUUAAUUAUUUAAAACACGCGACAUGGUGAAACAAGUUUACUAACACGUAGACGAUGCUCACCUCACAACGACGGCGGACGGCCAGACGAGCUAGUGGCGAGGCACGAUGACGUGCUAGGCGCAUGAUGCGCCGCAUGAGCAACGGCGAGGCUGCCGCUACGCCGCGCAGACUGCGUCGGGGCUGCUGCGGGCACGGACGACGACGACAACGACGACACGACGGGUGGCUCUUCACAGCGGCACUGGCAAGGCGCGCAGCACGGCGGGACGAAGGUUAGCGCAACACAGGCUAUCUCGGGUACUGCUUAAUGAGGGCGAGCGCGCGUCGGACCGAGCCACCGAGCUGGCCACGCUCAGUGCACUGUGGCCGAUCCGCCGGGCUGCCGUGCCAGGCCGCCGAGGCUGGCUACUGGCCGGCCGCGCUGGAAGGCACAGAGCAGGCACUCGACCAGCUCGACUGCGAGCCCGCGCAUAGGGGGCAGGGCGGCUGUCCGGGCCACCGCGCUGGUGCCCGCAAGGGCGAGGGGAGAUCUCGCCGAGGCACGGAGGUUGAGAGGCUCAUGCGAUGGCGGACAACGUAGCAGAGGCUGUGCGAGGGGAAGAGAUGAGGAGGUGGGCGAUUCUGGCGUCCGAGGGAGAGGGAAUGGAUAAAUUGCCGAACUGCUUACGAGGCGUGGGCGGUUGGGGAUUUUUGGGGAAGAAGAGCAGGGCCUCCAUCGGCGCUGGGACGACUGCAUUGAAUGCGCGUGCGUGCAGAUCGCGUGAGCGCGCACCACGCGGGGGGAGAGAGAAUGUGGGGCGCGCGGGCUGAUGCUGCGUCUGCACGACGCGCGCGGCGUGUGGGACGUGGCGCGGUCUGGCGCCUGGGCCUCCUGGUGGGCGCGCGCUAGGGGCUAACGCGGGCAGCGGCGAUGGGCAAGCUGGGGAGCGGGGAGGCACGUAGCUGGGCCGCGCCCAUGCGCACAAGCGGGCCAACAGGGAAAAAAGGCUGCGGAGCGCGGGCUCGGGCGUAGAGCUGGGCGCCUGGGCCCUGCGGUGCUAGGCCGCACGGGGGAAAGAGGGGGGUGGAGAGGGUGCAUGGGUCGACCGAGAGGGGGUUGUCCAGUUAGGCUUUCUCCCUUUAUUUCUUUGUUUCUUCAUUUUCUUUUUCUCUUUUCGAUUUCCUACUAUUUCAAAUCGAAUUCGUUACUAAAUGCAUGCUUCACAAAUUCACUCAUCAAACAAAACGAAAGCAUGCUCCAGCAUGAUGCGACAACCAAAGCACUGCUAGGUUUUACUUUACUAGGCUUACACAUCGAUAUAAAAUAAAAAAAUAUUCUUCACAAUUUAGAAAAAAGAAAAGAAAAGUAAGAAAAAGAGAGAGUAACACCUGAAUUUGGUGGAUAUUAGAAAAUAAAUUUUAUACCCCGAAAUUCAGGGUGUUACACAUUGCUAGCGAUAAAAAACUACAAGUAUUCUUCUUUGAAUGUUGUUAGUUCGAUAACAUUCAUUGGAUUCGAUAAAACCAGUUUGGAAUGGUUCAAAUCCAACAUAGGGAACGCUAUCAGGCAAUGACAAUUUUGUCCCUGUGCAUCAAGACGAGCAAGUGUAUUAUUUGUCGUACCCAUGUCAAUAGCUAAAUACAUGGCAGGAAGUAUAUAAAGUGAAUCCUCAUGAAUAGUUACACACUCCUAGUGAUGUUGCUUAUUGUAUUAAGGAUGGGCAUGUUGGUGAGGUCUAUCAAGAAGAAACAUUGCCAUGUCCUUUGAUAUCAAGCCUAGUGCAGCGCUUGGUUCUUUAGUUGGCACUAGUGAUGAUGCCAUUGUCCCCCAAAUUGAAAUGGUGACCUAUAAGGAAACAAUGUACUUUAGGACGGAUGAGAGUACCUAAUAAUGAUCAUGAUAAACUUUUUGUUUAAAUUUCUAGAAAUAGAAUCAUACGUGCAAUUUGUAUUCUAUUUUUAGUUCUUAUUAUAUUUUGUGUUUAAUUUUAUUAUAAUUGUUGGGCUAGCUUCUACUAUUUUCUUUUAACGGGAAGAAUUAUAAGUUCAAGUCAGUCUUUAGCAAGGCAAGCAAGAGCCUUUUCCAGGGGAGUCCUUCUAGCACAGCUCGACGAGAGGCUUUGUUAUGAUGUAGGCAGGAAACACUAGAAAGAACAAAUGAUGAAGAUGAGAGAGAUGGGGAGAUGAGGCAGAGCAGGAGCACCAAUGUCACACCCGAUUUUGGAAGGUAAACCGAAUGCGAACCAUGUACGUGCCAGUUUCAGAAAUUCACGUACACAACGAUUACAUAGUUGGACAUCAUUACACAUUGAUCAAAAUAAUAGCGGAAAUAAGUACUUUAUUACAUCAUGAUGUCCAAGACAUCCACAAAGUCAUUAACUUAAGUCAUAAUCAAAGCACUGAAUGAAACACAGUACGAUAAGGCCUUCACAGGCAGCUGACUGGGGGUUUCCACUAAACUAAUCUAGAACUCGUCGAAGUCCUAAAACUCCUGAAAGUCCUCCAUGUUGCCUUCAUCUUCUCCUGAGCACUGAUUACAAUGGGGACAACCUGGGGUUUGGUGUUUUUAAGUAAGGGUGAGUACACAUCAACAUACUCAGGAAAUGUCCCGUUUGGUUGAAGUGGACUAGCUGUAUGUGGGGUUAAGGUUAAAUAAGUUGCUUUUAGUUGAUCAGGUAUUUAUUACUAGUAGAGAGCCAAGUUUUAUCAAUAAUCCCAAGUUAUUACCCAAAUGUCACUCCCUUCAAGAGGAACUACCAGAAACCAUAACCAUAAUCCUCAACAUUAAGCAUCAUCAUAAAACUAUCCAGAGUAACUCUAAUCAAAGGAGCUCCCAAGGCUGCUCAUAACCGUGAGCACGACUGAUAUACCAGUUUCUAACACUCUGUAGAGGUUGCACACUUUACCCAUGAGUCAUGAUCCGUUCCCAACCUGGGUUGUACAGACUCGAUCUUCACUACUGAGGUGAAUGGCCACAGAUUCACUAUGUAGCCUUUACAAAGAUUCCCCUGGUGUGUAGUCGGCCGUUAGAUUUUGCCAUUCGUACAAACACAAUACUCCUCCCUAAGGUGGGUGAUUAACAAAACCAAAUCGAAUGAACCUCGGCACCCCCUUAGCAGAGCAAACACUAUGCCCCGGCCCCCAUUGACGGCACAACGGCGAAGCCAACUACACCCUAAGUUCCUCCAAUUAAUUAGCUAAGGGCGUCCCAUACCACCCUCAUGGUUGUACUGUUUUCCCGGGUGGUCAUCUAGUAAACAGGUCCUUACGGAGAGGUACUCGGGAAACAACCCUAGCCCCCUAAAGUAUCAGAUGAUCAUAAUCAUAAUCAAGAUAUCAUCAUAGUAUCAUAAAUGCUCUCAUCAUGUUCAUUGAUUAAAGUAAAGUAAUAGCAUAAUACUAAUCAUAGUAACCAAUUCCCAAAGGGUAAACAAGGACAAGAAAAUAGAACACUAGUCAAUCCUUAAUUUGAUCAUGGUAUGCGGGACAGUGAAUUAUAAAGUAAGUAGGACAUAAUGGGUCAGAGGACACUUGCCUUCACCAGGUUGCUGCUUAGAGAAGUCUCCUGCAACACACUCGAAAACCUUAGACUGCUCGUUGUCUACGCAAAACAAUCAUUCAUUCAACACACUUAGGGAGUAACAAAGAACAGUACACCAAACAUAUGCAACAGAGUAAACAUAGGUUCAGUGGAAAAGUACAAACACACAAGUGAACUCUAGGUUCUAGGGUAGAUCACUAUGUUUAAAGGUCUACUGUUCUCCAAUUACUGCCUAUCUCAGUAGAUUACUUACCUAACUGGGUCUAUCUUAGUAAAUUACUUAUUUAGAUAAAGUUAUUCCAGGGAUGGGACCAUACAUUAAUUGAAAUUAAAUCACAUUCAUUAGAGUUUCAAUUUUAUUUUACCUUUUGUCGGGAACCAUAAUUAGGGGUACCCUCAAGACGCCUAAUUCUCAGCUGGUAACCCCCAUCAGCAUAAAGCUGCAAAGGCCUGAUGGGUGCGAUUAAGUCAGGGAUCAGUCCAUACGAGCGACUCGAUCACGCCUCGCCCGAGCCUAGCCUCGGGCAAGGGCAGCCGACCCCGAGGGAUUUCCGUCUCGCCCGAGGCCCCCCUUUAACGGCGGACACAUCUCCGGCUCGCCCGAGGCCUUGCCUUCUCUCAGAAGCAACCCUGACUAAAUCGCCGCACCGACCGACCGAGUCGCAGGAGCAUUUAACGCAAAGGUGGCCUGACACCUUUAUCCUGACGCGCGCCCCCCGGCAGAGCCGAAGUGACCGCCGUCACUUCGCUGCUCCACUGACCGGUCUGACAGAAGGACAGCGCCGCCUGCGCCACUCCGACUGCAGUGCCACUUGACAGAAUGAGACCGACAGGCAGUCAGGCCCUGCCAAAGGCGCCAUAGGAAACUCCGCUCCGCCCGACCCAGGGCUCGGACUCGGGCUAAGCCCCGGAAGACGGCGAACUCCGCUCCGCCCGACCCAGGGCUCGGACUCGGGCUAAGCCCCGGAAGACGGCGAACUCCGCUCCGCCCGACCCAGGGCUCGGACUCGGGCUAAGCCCCGGAAGACAGCGAACUCCGCUCCGCCCGACCCAGGGCUCGGACUCGGGCUAAGCCCCGGAAGACGGCGAACUCCGCUCCGCCCGACCCAGGGCUCGGACUCGGGCUCAGCCCCAGAAGACGACAAACUCCGCUUCGCCUGACCCCAGGGCUCGGACUCCGCCCAGGCCUCUGCCGAACAAUCUCCGCCUCGCCCGAACCAGGGGCUCGGGCUCGGCCUCGGCCAUGGAAGACAGACUCGACCUCGGCUUCGGAGGAGCCUCCACAUCGCCCGACCUAGGGCACAGGCCCGCCACGUCAAUAGGAAGCGCCAUCAUCACCCUGCCCCGAGCCGACUCGGGCCACAGAGAACAAGACCGGUGUCCCAUCUGGCUCGCUCCGCCAGAUAUGCAAUGAUGGCGCCCCGCUAGCCCUGUGACGACGGCGGCUCUCAGCUCCCUUACGGAAGCAGGGGGACGUCAGCAAGGACUCAACCGCUCCGACAGCUGUCCCUCCGCCAGGCUCCGUUGCUCCUCCGACAGCCACGACAUCACACCAGCAGGGUGCCAAGAUCUCUCCGGCUGCCACAUUGGCAUGUACUUAGGGCGCUAGCUCUCCCUCCGCUAGACACGUAGCACUCUGCUACACCCCCAUUGUACACCUGGAUCCUCUCCUUACGCCUAUAAAAGGAAGGACCAGGGCCUUCUUAGAGAAGGUUGGCCGCGCGGGGACGAGGACGGGACAGGCGCUCUCUUGGGGCCGCUCGCUUCCCUCACCCGCGUGGACGCAUGUAACCCCCUACUGCAAGCGCACCCGACCUAGGCGCGGGACGAACACGAAGGCCGCGGGAUUUCCACCUCUCUCACGACCCAUCUCCGACCACCUCGCUCUCCCCCCUUCGCGCUCGCCCACGCGCUCGACCCAUCUGGGCUGGGGCACGCGGCACACUCACUCGUCGGCUUAGGGACCCCCCGGUCUCGAAACGCCGACACCUUUAAUACAUAUCAUGUAACCUUACACUAAUCUAGAGACUAACCACAAAAUUGAGACAUGCAAACAGUGAAUGAAUAUAAUUUAAACAGAUAGAGAAUAACAUUAUGAACAUUUUGCAUUUUGAACCACCAAAUUUGGAGUUCAUAUGCAAAAAUAUGAAAUUUACAAGUUUUAGAAUUCAAAACACUAAAUUAAACCUAUUUCUGUGAUUAAAAUAAAGUCUAGGGGCCUCUCUGUCAGGGGCCUGGGCGCAAGAAAACAGGACGACGGGUUGAUUCUUGGAAACCUGAGGGGUUCUUUAACAAAAUAACCAAGCAAAGGGUUACGUGGCGUUCUUGGCCAUCCGAUCACAGAUCAACGACCAGCAUCAGAUCCGAGGGUGAGCAGGCGCGAGCGAGCGCUGACAAGUGGGCUAGAUCAGGUUGUGGCCCAGAGUGAGGGCAGGCUGGCCGGUGGGGCCCAGGGGUAGGGGCGGGCGCUCGAACCGGUAUCUUGGGAUUCGAGCCGUAAGAUCAGGAGCGUGCGGUUGGGAUCGGGUGUGAGGGGGGUUUAACGGUGGCGGCUGGUGUUGCUCCGUCCUUGGCGGUGAAGCCACCGGAGCUAAGGCAGGCGCAGCCUCUAGGGGGUCUGGGGUCACCAGAGUUGGCCAGGAUCGGUGAGGGGGGCCCGACAAACUCGAUGGCGUGGUUUCGGUUGAGAGAUCAGGCUGGAGGCCAGGGAAUCACAGAGGGGGCGCUCCAGGCGGGUUGGGGUUACUCCAAUGAGCAAUCACGACCUCAUGGAGGAGGAAUCGGGUGUGCCGAGGCCAGUGCCAGCUCCGGUGAGGGAGAGGGAACACCUAGAGCCAAAACGUGAGCACAUGACGGGGCUAAAUUGAUCGGACACCGUGCAGGCGCGGCGAACUAGUGCGACAGAACUCCAGUGAACGCGGACUCACUACGACAAGGCAAAAUCAGGGCAGCCAGAGCACGGGAAAAGGUUCCUCACCUCAGGACAGCGCUCGGGGAGGCUCGACGCGACGUCUGGAGCUCCGGAUGGACGGCACGACGAGCGCGCUUCUCCGGUGAGCUCGGGCGGUGGCGACUAAGCGCGAGAGGGGCUGAGAGUGGGCAAAAUGAGGUAGGGGAAGAGAGUGGGUGCGGGCAAGGCUCAAAAGGGAGCUGGGGGACGUGGGUAGGCGACAUGGCCGGGUUUCUCGGCGGGCGUGCGCGCGGGUCAACGACUGUUGGAACUUGCUAAUCCGGGGACAGCAAAAUCCAAUAGGAAGCAAAUAGAAUGGUUUGAUGCCUCUAAACACAAGGCGUUAGGGCAACAAUGUUCUCUCUUUUCGUCCCCCGCAUUGGCACAGUGCGAGGGUAUUUAUAGGUAACUAAGGGACCGCCCGGCCCUGCCAAGGAUAAUUAGGCCCUCAGUUACCUGGGUUAUCCUCGGAAUAUUCCCUCAUGGGGAGGUUACAACGUGUCAUUACAACAUACUUUAUUACAGACGUGGCCCAACCCGCUCUGCCCACGCGGGCGACCUACGGGCGGGGCCUUACAACAUGGGUCGGAUUGUACACGGGCCCCUUCUUGCAUUGAGGGAGACAAAGCCUUGGGGUCUUCGCAGUCUUGGUCAUCCAGUCCCCGAAAUCUUCGAUGGUCUUCGCCUCGGCUCAUCAGAUCGAAGAAGACACUUGGGCCUUCGCAUGGGCGACGUCCGCGGGCCUGGCUAGCGGAGCCUGCUGAUGGGGCCUUCGAUCUGUGAUACAUCGACGUGGAAAUCCUCGAGCGAGGGGGGCGUGUUCGCCUUCGUCCCAACAACGGUGGUUCAUGGGGAGGAUGGAGCUGACAGGGCGGCCCCAUGACGCAGAGAGAGAGAGAGAAGCACGCAUGAGGGGGAACAAUUCAACAUUGACAGUUCAGGCCCGCCUGGCAGAGGGAGAGUGGGGGCGGGCGCGCGAGGGCGAGCGAUGCCGACAGUUCAGGACCGCCUGGCAGAGAGAGAGAGAGAGAGAGAGAGAGAGAGAGAGAGAGAGAGAGGGCGGGUGCGAGCGCACGAGGGUGAACUUGUUGAAUUAAUUAAACUUGUUGAAGUUAUGUGAUUAUGAUAUAUAGUGGUUUUGGUUAUCUAUGUGAUGAAAUGUGUGUAUGCAUGUGAUAUAUGUGAUGAAAAUGUGUGUAUGUAUGUGAUAUAUGUGAUGAAAUGUGUGUUUGAAUAUAAUGUAUAUGAAUGAAUGUAAAGAGGAAAUAUUUGUUUCCUGCAUAGAAUAAAUUUCGGUGGCCACCUUUUUUUUGGUGGCCUCGAGAUGGUUGCCGAAAUUUAUUGCAGACCCAACUAUUUUCGGUGGCCGUGCAAGCCACCAAAGUUAAGCACCUUACUUUCCGUUGCCUGGUUUCUAGCCGCCAAAAUUAAAUGCGGCCAUCGAAAAUAGAUGCAUGGUGCCAUGGGUAUUUUUGGCAGCGGGUGUCAAAGCCACCAAAAAUUAAUUAUUCUCGGCGACAACCACCAAAUUGAAGCUAUGGCUUACUAUCGGCGAAACACCAUCAACACGCCGAAAAUAGAGUAUUACUGCCGAAAAUUACCUAUUUUUCUAUAGCGUGAUAGCAGGUGAUCUUCAUCAAGGACUAUUGCAAGCACAUGAAGGUCAUGUCCGACUCUUUACGGAAUGUUAGACACACCAUUUCUAAGCCCCAACUAGCGCUCCACCUCCUUUGUGACAAUAGUAAUCCACCCUUGAGAUGUGAUUUUAGAGGACGAUUUGUUUAUGAUUUUCAUCCCUGAUAAUGGAUGGAACUUUAAGGGUGGUCUAAUUUCGUUAAUUGCUCUUACAAAAAAAAUCUAGAAAUGGUUCAAAAGAUACGGUGUAACAAGACAUAUGGCUUGUUAUAUGACCUGUAGUCAAUUUUAUAGAUGACUUACUAUGUGAUUCGUCCCAAUAAAAUGGGAAACGAUAGAGUGUCAUAUACAUUACAUUCACUUUCGAUUAAGGACAUGGUGGUAGAGCCACACUAGGAACACAAUUACAAUUAUAGUUCAGAAACAUAGAACAUUUAUUUUAUUAUGGGUCGUAGCCUAGGAAAAAGUAAAUACAUGGAGUAGUAUGUAAAAUGCAAAUAAAUUUCUAUAAUAUCAAAUGAUGAACCCAGACUUCAUUGUUUUAGUAGUGGUUGUUCUCCCAAAACUGAGCUUGAAGCCAAUCGAUUGUCCCCUUUUGCACCUGGAAGGCCUUGGCCAAGACAUCAUCUGAGAUAGGUGGCUUUGAUCCAAAGACUGCAUUCGCAAUAGUAAUAACUCCAGGGUUCUGGCUGCUUAGUGCAGCGAUCGCGACUGCUGGCUUGUCAUGGACCGGGUUGAACUGGAAGUGGAUAAGUCCUUGGGGGAAUACAAACACAUCGCCCUUGU
rnacentral:lncRNA from 1 species